AAAAUUCCCGUUAAGUGGAUUCAUUAGCUGACACAGCCAUGCCUCAGUGUCCCUCCUGCAGAAGGGGUAAGGAUGGUCCCCACCUGCCUCAUGUGUCAACGUCUGAGAGGCCUGGAGCAGCAAGUCUGCGAUGGCUGACAUUUCUGAGUGACCGGGACAAGCCACCAGGGGUCUGGCCCCCUCCAGGAUGAGCAUGGUUGAAGCGGACAAAACUCUUGAAAAGUGGGCCCAUGAUAAUUUCCCUUAAGGGUAGUCACGCAAGAGGAGAGGACAACUGAAGACUAAGAGACCAACGGCUCCCGCUGUCGCUGCACCGCUGACGUGAAGAAACGAAGCGGUCCUGUCAUGCCGGAGGAGAUGUCCAUAACUUGGAAGCCUUUAGGAUCCUGUUGUGGUGGAAAUGACAGGCAGGGAUGCUGAUCAUUUUGGAACGGGACCCCUUUCUCUCUUCAAAUGACGUGACCCAGAGAGCUGCUCACUUUUUUUGCUGGAGAUGCUGGCUCUCCAGGGGACCUACAGAUGCAGGUCAAACUGGCCGCAUUGAAAGGGCUUCUGCACACUUCUCCAAGAGCCCUGUGAGUUGAGGUCUGUACCCUUGGCUGACUCGCAGUGCCCAUCGGUGCCCUUGCUGACCUCAGGUAUUCUUCCUUCUCUGGCAGAGCUGAUAUUUACACUUCUUCAGAAAUGAGAAGAAAUGAAUAUUCUUAUUAACCAGGAAGAAGCUGGGGCCCACCUUGAAAAGAGCCGCAUCUCCAGGACUCAAAGGAGAAAUCAGCAAAACAGGGAAGGAACAG